rnacentral:lncRNA from 1 species
UUUUUUUUUUUUUUUUAAUUUGAAAUACUUGACACUUGCUCCAGAUAAACCACAAGACCAAGAUGAAGUUCAUCCUUAGGACAACUAUUCAAGGAAAUGUAAGGUUCUAUAUAGAGAAGAGAGAUACUUAAUUGAGACAUUUGUGGAGAAAUAAGAUCAUGGUCUUCUCCUUAGACUUUAAGAUCCCUUAUGAAGGAAUAAAAAUCUUUGUUGUAUUAAAUUCAUAGGAAUACAUGUGCAUGCACAUACAUUAUGUCAUGUACACUCAUAAAUCUACAAAAACACACACACUAUGAAUUACUUCCUUUCAAUUUUGGUUUUGAAGUCUCAUCUGCAGCAAAAUAUUUUUUAAAAGGCAGAGUAGACCUCAUUUUGCUGUAUACUAAGAUAUAUUGACAAGCCAUCUCUGUUAUUUUUCAUAUGCCCUUAAAAGUCCUAUCCUAAAACCAGAACAGUGGAUCACUCCAUCCAGAAGGUAUUUUUUUGGUUAACAGGCCCGUGCAAAUGAUGUCAACUCUACUGUAAGGAGCAGAGUAGGCAGGAGAGGUAAUGACUAUUGCUACCUCCUCGCCCCAUCUCCACCCUCUUGGUUAUAGUUAUGUUGGUGCAUUUUUACAGACUGUAGCAUGCAUUUUUCCAGAUUUAUGUUCUUCCAGAUUUCUGCAUUUUAAUUGGGAAAAUAGAAAUAAGAGUAGAGAAUAGAGGGUGAAAAUCACCAAGGUUAUAAUUACCGAAAAGGAAAAACUUCUGGGAUAUAGUUGUCUGUUAAACUCUGGAUUAAUAAGUCCCUAACCAGUGAAAAACCUCAAUAAAUGUUCAUCAAUGCUAACAGGACAAGGAUUUAGUAGAAGAAUUAAAUGUAAUAAAGUUUCGUGCAUAACCAAGGACAGAAACAGUUCUACAUUUUGUUUAUAUGAAAAUUUGCCCUGUAAGAAGUGUGUGUGUGAUGGUAGCAGGGCCCCCCAUCAAGUGCCAAAGACCCAGUUACUGCCCUGAACAAACUGAGAUCCCAGGAGGCCAAGUCAUUUGGGCUUUGGAUUACUCAUUUGUAACAUGAAAGAACUGAACUAAAUUAUCUGAUAUAAUUUCUACAUAUAAUGAUUUGAUUUUGUAAUUCAUAUCCUAGAGUUAUAUUUCCAGAAUGACCCACAUUGUUUUGAUGAAGAGGUCAAUGAUAGUAGGGGGCCAGCCCCUAAUUACACCUUCAAAAAUAAGAGAGGCUGUACUCUUUUUAAUCACAUGCAGUCCAUUUGGGGUGUGUCAUAUAAAUACCACAGAUAACACAGAAAGAGCCUAUUACCUCUAACUCUCUGGGCACUUCCCACUGUUCCCAAUGGGAAUAACAAUGGGGGACCCAGAGCCCACUGCUUAUGUGAAUCCCUGCUUUAGGGGUCACAGUUCAAUUGCAUCUUUAUCAUGUGAAGCUAAACUGAAAUUAGAUAGAAAAUAACAUAUAACAGAGGUAAAUUAAUGCCAAGUUUGCUCUUUUUGAAUACAAUCAAUACUUUUAUUCUAAUAAUUUUAAAGUUGUUAAGUUGAAUUAAAAUUAUUUCUUUACCAGAAAGCUGGCGUGAAGAAAACCCCAAAAUCCAGGAACUUAAAACCAUUCUUCUCUAUGUGGUUCAUAUCAUGGCACACACAGAACAGGUUAGAAGCUGAAAAUCUAGCCACCCAAAGAUAUACCAUUAUUUUAUGUGCCACUAAGAAAGAAAA